UUCCAAUCCCGUUCUAGGGAAUCAAGUUUCACCAUUUUAUGUCACUUCCUGGUUUUAAAGUUUGGUGAAAGUUUGGAAACAUAGAAGAACGUUCUAUAUGUUGAGUGCUUUAAUUGCGUUUCCAAAUUGUACACAAGUUUAAUAUCGUGUAACCGGGAUUAGAAUUGGGAUAACUCUGAUUUCUAGUUCUACAAGGAUUAAUUGAGAGUUGAAACUAGGGACACAUUCAUUGCCAGGAUGAUUUCAAUUAUUCUAUUUUCCAUUUUAUUGUUUUGGAAUGAAGUUCGAGGUGAAAGAGCGAUUUGUCUCCGGUACAAUGGAUCUGGUUUUUCACAGUAUAGUAUGAACAAUGCUGAUAUUUCAGAAAGAGCGACGUAUAAAUUAACGUUUAAAACCACAGCAGAAGAUGGCUUAUUGUUAUUUGCUAAAGGAUCACAUGACUACGAAGCUUUAUUUAUCCGUGAUGGCAUCCUUCACUACUUUCUAUUUAACCCCACACCCCAUG